UAUAAAUUCAAUCGAAUACCAACCAAUUACUGAAAUAUAAUCUGAGGAAUUUGGUUAGGGCAUCAAAUUGAUCACUUUAAUUUCACAUCGAGACCCUAACCAAUACAAUUCAAUCAUGUCAACCAAGCAAGGAGGAAAAGCCAAGCCUUUGAAGGCCCCUAAGGCUGAAAAGAAAGAGUACGACGAGACUGACAAGGCUAAUAUUCAAAAGAAGAAAGAAGAAGAGAAGGCUCUUAAGGAGCUCAAGGCAAAGGCCCAGCAAAAGGGGGCAUUUGGCGGUUCUGGUCUGAAGAAAAGUGGCAAAAAAUGAGCUAGAAGAAGAGCUAGCUCAUUGCUUGUCCUGUUUGUCAUUUUCUUUGUCAUGUAAUUUAAACAUUUUAGGUUGUUCCCACUAAUGUUUAUCGGUAUCGAGCCGUGAAGGGUGUGUGGGUGUAAGAUUGUAUGUUCAACAAUUGAAUCUAUGAAAUGGCUUAUGUCUAAAUGUA